GUGUUGGCUUCUCUGGCAGCACAUAUACUAAAAAUUGAAAUGAUGCAGAGUAAAUUAGCAUGGCCUCUACUCAAGGAUGACAAAAAAUUUGUGAGGCAUUACAUAUUUCU
ensembl:snRNA U6 U6 spliceosomal RNA